CGCUCGACAUCAGAGUUUGAUCCUGGCUCAGGAUGAACGCUAGCUACAGGCUUAACACAUGCAAGUCGAGGGGCAGCAUGAUCGAAGCUUGCUUUGAUUGAUGGCGACCGGCGCACGGGUGAGUAACACGUAUCCAACCUGGCUCAGACUCGGGGAUAGCCUUUCGAAAGAAAGAUUAAUACCCGAUGGCAUGAAGCUCCCGCAUGAGGGCUUCAUUAAAGAUUCAUCGGUCUGAGAUGGGGAUGCGUUCCAUUAGGCAGUUGGCGGGGUAACGGCCCACCAAACCAUCGAUGGAUAGGGGUUCUGAGAGGAAGGUCCCCCACAUUGGAACUGAGACACGGUCCAA
rnacentral:rRNA from 1 species